AUUCAAAUGUGGCUCCUGACACUCAAAGUCACAUGACCACAACAGAUCCGGAAACUGCUGCACUCCAGCCAGACAGUCAACAGCAGCACUACGGGGACUGAGAACCGAGAGAGCCAGAUACUUGAGGUCGCUGUGUGACACCCAGGAUUGUGGGAAACUGUAUAAAGAGCAGUUUCCUCUGGUUUUCCACCUCAUCAUUCAGAAGCUAAUAAAGGGCAUUGAUCACCCGUAAACACUCACUACUGAAAUUAUCCCUCCAUCGGAAAGAUCCGCCACACCUAAGCUCUAAAAUGUAUGGACUCAUGAGAAGAGUGACAGACAAAGGAAACAAGAAAGCAGAAGGGACACAUAGAAGACAUAAGAGAGGUGAGCAAAGGUUGUUCAACAUAUAC